rnacentral:rRNA from 1 species
CGGGACGGGUGAGUAACGCGUGGGUAACCUGCCUUAUACAGGGGGAGUAACAGUCAGAAAUGGCUGCUAAUACCGCAUAAGCGCACAGAGCUGCAUGGCUCAGUGUGAAAAACUCCGGUGGUAUAAGAUGGACCCGCGUUGGAUUAGCUAGUUGGUGAGGUAACGGCCUACCAAGGCGACGAUCCAUAGCCGGCCUGAGAGGGUGAACGGCCACAUUGGGACUGAGACACGGCCCAGACUCCUACGGGAGGCAGCAUG